UUGUUCCAUUGAUAUUUGUGGGAGUUUUAUUCAGCGACCACCUGGCUGAGUUUUGGACGCGUGUGGUGUGUGCGUCUCCCUACCCCUCUCCCUUCGAGCUGGGCGGAGUUGCCAUCGCAGUGAUAUCAGAGCUUUAAUAAUGAGACGUGUUAUAUGUAGUUGACUAUUAAUUCGUGUUAACGUUUACCAUGUACCAGACAUACCGUGUAUGCCUUACUUGUUUAGAGCUGUUUGCUAACCUUAUCAUUAUCAAUCCAGUUCAAUGGUGGUUCGUCAGCUACCAAACAGAAGUUUGUCUGUGCGCCUGGUCUGUCUCACUCAGUGGGACACACACGCAUCACAGCGAUAUGAGAGUGCUGCGCUACCAGAAGGAGAGAUUUUAAAACUUUGAGAGAUGUUUUAUACCUUUUGACGUUGAUUCCGUUUAGAACAGAAACAUCUGACGCCACGUUAUUUUCUUCUGCUGAUAUACAGUAUGUUCUGUGGUUGACACAUCUGGCAGCUUUUUUAGGAAAAUAUAGACAUAGAAAAAUGUAAACCAUGCAGGCUUAUUGUUUUCUUAAAUUAUUUAAAUGUGUUGACAAAGGACAUUUUGUGAUGACCUGAAUUAUGUCUUAUAGUCAGCAAGCAAUGUAUCAUCAAGGCUGUGUUGUAAGAUUUUGAUGAAAGCAUUUUGCACAGUUAACCAUAUCCAGUGCACCCAUCCAUAAGUUCAAUAAAUGUUCCUUUUUUAAAUUGAGACUUAUAACAUUUGUUAACAUUAUGUGUCAUUUGUAUGAUGUAAAGUGAGGGAGCAAAAUAAAAGCAGUAUCGGCUCAAGAAAAUCGGCAGCCUGUAUCGGUCAUCGGCUAAGGCUGAUUGGAAAAAAUCGGUAUCGGCACUAAAAAAUCCAUAUCGGUCGAUUAUGAUACCAUUAAGUAGUAUACUGUUGUCCUGAGUGGCGCAAGAAGAGAGAGUGUAGCUAUUAGACCAGCCUGCUGUGCAAGUGUACAUUUCUACACAAAGUGCCGAUCAUGAUGAUAUGCUGUUCUGCCUUUCCUCUUUGAACUGUGUAAUAAAAGGAUUUUAUACUCCAUACAUUGUUGUACCAAUACAUGCAGUGCCUAUGAAAAGUAUCCUCUCCCCCCUUGAAUAUUUCCCCUUUUACUGCUUUCAUAAAUGGAAACUUGAUCAAUUUAUUUUGGCCCUUUUCUUUUACAAUAAUUUACAUAAAAAAACCUGUUUAAUGUCAAAGUGAAAGCAGAUUUCUACAAAGCAAUGUUAAUUAAUUAAACAUAUAUAAUGCAAAAUAAGUGAUUGCAUAAAUAUUAACUCCUUUUAUAGGCACUGUAUAUGUGUAACUGUAAUGCAAACUAACUUGAGCCCUAAAACUGUAACCAACUUUAGGCUUGAGUUCAUAAUGUAUUCUGUGUACACUGAAUUCAAGAUGCAUUUGAUCUGUUCUUUUUUUUAUAUUAGAUUAAUUUAGAGUGCCUCUCCUUUAUAUGAGGUAUGCUAUAUUUAUCCCAAGUAAACAUUUGACUAUUUUUCAACCUUA